rnacentral:lncRNA from 1 species
GUAACAUUUUCUUUCAUUAUUGAAAUCCACAGCAAACUCUGCGUUACAUUUUCUUGCAUUACUCAAAGCCACAGUAAACUCAUUUUGGAUGAGAAGGUAAUGGCAGCUACAGCAUCUAGUAGAGGAGCUCAAACCAUGAAUUCUAUGUAUUUCAAGUAAGAGUUUAUUUUGAUUAACAAGUUUGAUCAACAAAACCUUUAUGAUAUGUUUAGCCUUCAAUCGAAAAUGUGUCAUAUAGAGAGGACAUAUAACAUGACAUACGACAAAAAUAUAAGUUUUCUAACAUAUUAUAUAAAUAUUUACAGGGGCGGACCCACUUGAGCCCGAGUGGGGUCGGCCGCCCCCACUCGAUUUUCAAAUUUUUGAUUUUUCUUGAGGUUUUUUUUUUCAAGUUUUUUCCUAUGAUUUUUUGGUUUCGCCUCCACUGAAUUUUCAUCCUGGAUCCGCCCCUGAAUAUUUAUGUUGUUCACGCUCAAAUGGUGUUGACGAUACUAGAUCUCAGGAUAUUAUUUUAGUACAAUGUUUAUGUGAUUAAUUUUUCAAUACACCUGUAGGCCAAUGUGGAGGAAAAUGUAUCAUAGAAAACGUCCGGAUGUGUUAAGUGAUACGGCCAAAUUGAAUGGAGAUGAAGUGAAGAACAAGAACAUUGUGGCCGGAAAUUGUGAUGCCACUUGGUGGAUUCCGGAUGAUCGAACUGGGAUUUAUUACCCUAAGGGGCAAGAGAAGGUGAUGGAGGAUGUCCCUCAAGAUGCUGGUAGGAAUUUCGGAGCAAUCAAUUUGUUUUUUAACCAUGAGGAUUGUAUUUAGUUGGUCGUCAAAUGAUAUUUUUUUCACCAAUGUGUAUCAAUCUAUAUGUUUUUGUGCA